GACGAACGCUGGCGGCGUGCUUAACGCAUGCAAGUCGAACGGUGAAGCGCUUUCCUUUUUGGUUGGUGUGGAUGAGUGGCGAACGGGUGAGUAACACGUGAGUAACCUGCCCCCUUCUUCUGGAUAACCGCAUGAAAGUGUGGCUAAUACGGGAUAUUCUGCGCCUGCUGCAUGGUGGGUGUGGGAAAGAUUGUGCCUUUGGGUGUUUUCGGUGGGGGAUGGGCUCGCGGCCUAUCAGCUUGUUGGUGGGGUGAUGGCCUACCAAGGCGGUGACGGGUAGCCGGCCUGAGAGGGUGGACGGUCACACUGGGACUGAGACACGGCCCAGACUCCUACGGGAGGCAGCAGUGGGGAAUAUUGCACAAUGGGCGCAAGCCUGAUGCAGCGACGCCGCGUGAGGGAUGGAGGCCUUCGGGUUGUGAACCUCUUUCGCCAGUGAAGCAGGCCUGCUCCUUGUGGGUGGGUUGACGGUAGCUGGAUAAGAAGCGCCGGCUAACUACGUG
rnacentral:rRNA from 1 species